rnacentral:rRNA from 1 species
CAGCAGCCACGGGAAUACGGAGGGGGCUAGCGUUGUUCGGAAUUACUGGGCGUAAAGCGCACGUAGGCGGCUUGGUAAGUUAGAGGUGAAAGCCCGGAGCUCAACUCCGGAAUUGCCUUUAAGACUGCCGAGCUAGCAGGUGAGAGAGGUAAGUGGAAUUCCGAGUGUAGAGGUGAAAUUCGUAGAUAUUCGGAAGAACACCAGUGGCGAAGACGGCUUACUGGCUCAUACUGGACGCUGAGGUGCGAAAGCGUGGGGAGCAAACAGGAUUAGAUACCCCAGUAGUCCCUGUCUCUUAUAC